rnacentral:rRNA from 1 species
UACGUAGGGUGCAAGCGUUUGUCCGGAAUUAUUGGGCGUAAAGAGCUCGUAGGCGGUUUGUCGCGUCGGCUGUGAAAGCCCGGAGCUCAACUCCGGGUCUGCAGUCGAUACGGGCAGACUUGAGUGUUGCAGGGGAGACUGGAAUUCCUGGUGUAGCGGUGAAAUGCGCAGAUAUCAGGAGGAACACCAGCGGCGAAGGCGGCGCUCUGGGCUGGAACUGACGCUGAGGAGCGAAAGCGUGGGGAGCGAACAGG